AGUUGAAGAAAAGAGUAGGUUCAUCUUCCGGUGACACGCUCUGAAAAUUGCCAUAUGUUGUCCAAUCCUAACGAGCCGCUAGGACCAAAGAAAUCCAUCACAUAUAAAAAACAAUCAUCUAGUAGCGAUCAUAAAUCAUGCAGUACAAAGCAGAAACAAAAAUCACUACGAAAUAUUACGGAAAAUAGUCAAGGAAAGGUUCACGAAAGGGUUAUGCAUAGUAAUUCUAUACACACUAUUUGUACGGGUAAGCAUUACACGAAAAGAUGCCUCAGGUCUGCCAGUUGAGGGUCGCCCUUGCAGCUACCGAUCGUCGAAACACUUAACCCUUUGACGAACUAGUUGUUAGAAACAGAAUAUGGUCUCUGACGUCACACAGGAUUUGAAAGAAAAGAUUCAAUUGGUACUUGGAGUUUCCAAAAUCCUUGUUAGGUAAGAGCUAAUUCAAUGCCUGGAUUAAUUUAACGAGGUUCCAUUCCUAUUCCGAAUACUUACCGCUGUAAUUUAUUUUGUGUACAACGACAGGCAACGGCAGGUAGGGUGGUAACUAAUUACAAAAGUAUCGUAAAUAUCGACAUAACUUUUGAUUUCAUAGGAUGUCCAGUAUUUUCCACGAUUAUACUGGUUAACUCGACGUAAUAAACGAAGGAAGAUUUACUUAUUUGAAGGAAGACUUAUGUAAUUUUUGUAUUUAAAGUUCGAUUAAUCCUCACCUUACUUUCUUUUUUUUUAAUGUAGAAGUGUUUUUCUUUUUUUAAAUAUAUUUAAUGCGUGAUUUUCAUUGUAUGAAUUGGUUUUGAACGACAGAAGAUUUAUAAUAGAAAGAAAUAGAAAGAUAACAAGGUAUAAUAGAGGUAAUAGAAGUACUAAGAAAUAAUCAGGAAAUAGG